rnacentral:lncRNA from 1 species
GCAAAAACAGGAGUAAACACUCUAAGGAGAUAAUGAUACUCAGAGAAGUAGAGAAGCUGGCCUAACAUCACAAACCUAUGCUGUUGUGGAGCUGGCAUUUGAAACCAGGGAAGAGAGACCAAAGAGAAUUCUACUUUGACCCUGGCUUAAGAGUGGAACAUAGAUGUCUAUAAAACUAUGUGGUACCAGCAUGUUAUGAAGAAUAAGCAAGAAGAAAGAGAAGGAGAAGAAGCAGGAGGAGGAGGAGAGAAGGAAAGGGAGGAGGAGGAGGAGAAAAAGAUGGUGGUAGAGGAGGAGGAGAAGAAGAAGAAGGAGGAGAAGGAGAAGGAGAAGAAGGAGCAGGAGGAGGAGGAAGAAGAAGAAGAGGAGAAGGGAACUCACAUGCUACCUGUGUGAGUCACAUGUCAGUGCAAUUUCUGGAGGUCAAUUGUAGCCCUGAAGUCUCAGAACAAUGGCAAAAAGAAAUACGGAGGGCAUGAUACAUUUGGCAGACUAAAAUUCUCAAGAUUCCUAUGCAGUCGAGUUUUACCAUAUGACUGAGUUCCAACAAAGAAAUAUGAGUAGAAGAUUGUAUAAGCAUCAUUUUUGACCCAGGGCUUUAAGAAGCAGUUGGCUGGCUAUGCAGUGAAGCUCCAUAUGUCCCACAUUCAUUCUUCAGAAUAACUUGGGCAA